GGGCUUAUAGUAAAGUGGUAUUACGCGUCAUUCGCAUUGACGAGGCCCGGGUUCGAUUCCCGGUAAGUCCACCA
rnacentral:tRNA from 1 species